AUUGAACGCUGGCGGCAGGCUUAACACAUGCAAGUCGAGCGAGCGGCGGACGGGUGAGUAAUUUCUGGGAAACUGCCUGCUGGCGGGGGAUACCUCCUGGAAACGGUAGCUAAUACCGCAUACCCUCAGAUGUGCCCAGAUGGGCUUAGCUAGUAGGUGGGGUAAUGGCUCACGUAGGCGACGAUCCCUCGCUGGGCUGAGAGAAGGACCAGCCACACUGGAACUGAGACACGGUCCAGACGCCUACGGUAGGCAGCAGUGGGGAAUAUUGCACAAUGGGCGCAAGCCUGAUGCAGCCAUGCCGCGUGUGUGAAGAAGGCCUUCGGGUUGUAAAGCACUUUCAGCGAGGAGGCGUUACUCGCAGAAGAAGCACCGGCUAACUCCGUGCCAGCAGCCGCGGUAAUAC
rnacentral:rRNA from 1 species